CCUAGUAACGGCGAGUGAAGCGGCAAUAGCUCAAAUUUGAAAUCUGGCUUCCUUUUUUAUAGCGGGUCCGAGUUGUAAUUUGCAGAGGAUGCUUUUGGCACGGCACUGAACAAGUUCCCUGGAACGGGACGCCACAGAGGGUGAGAGCCCCGUCUGGUCAGACGCCUAGCCUCUAUAAAGCUCCUUCGACGAGUCGAGUAGUUUGGGAAUGCUGCUCAAAUUGGGAGGUAUAUGUCUUCUAAAGCUAAAUACCGGCUAGAGACCGAUAGCGCACAAGUAGAGUGAUCGAAAGAUGAAAAGCACUUUGAAAAGAGGGUUAAAUAGUACGUGAAAUUGCUAAAAGGGAAGCGCUUACAACUAGACGUAGGGGUAUUCAAUCACCUAGUGUUUUUCACUAGGGUAUUUGGGUAUAUUUCCUAGGCUAGCAUCGGUUUGCUACGGGGGAUAAAGACACUAGGAAUGUAGCCCCCCUCGGGGGGUGUUAUAGCCUAGUGUGUAAUGCCCUGUAGCAGACCGAGGUCUGCGUAGUUU
rnacentral:rRNA from 15 species